rnacentral:lncRNA from 1 species
GAGAAGAAGGUAGUAGUAGCGGUGGUAGCGGUGGCGGUAGUGGUGGUAAUGGUAGUAGUAUAGUGAUUGAAUGUGUGCGUGAUGCCUGCUCGGUUAUAUGGCUCGACAAGUCGCAGGCAGUUCAGUUGAGCAACUGAGUCUGAGUUCAUACGUGUGCAUGUGACGCGAAAGAACGAGGCGGAAAGAAAGAGAGAGGGAUCGCGUGUGUAAUUCGAGUGAAAAAGAAAGAAAAAAAUGUAUAUUCGAAGAAGGAAAGAUGUCAAUAAUUUGGUGGUAUAGUGGUUCACGUUUUUUCAACUAUGAUAAAUAAGAAUAUCAUGGAACAUGCACCGAUGACGACGUCAUGACCGUGUCGUGGUAUUGUAGUCGCCAUCUCUCCCGGUUGGUCGGUUGGUCUACUGUGACGGAUUUUCGUGAUGUGAGUGCACGCGCAUUUGGUCGAAAGAGCCGACGAAAAUUACAGCAGUGGCAAGGGCAAUAGAAGCCCGGAUUGUUGUGGCGCGAUGUCGAUGGUUCCCGGGAAUUCGUGUCGACUCUUACGUUCAUCGUCAAUACUCACGGCAUAGGUGACACGGUGGAGUGGCGGUCUACGAGACCACGACGACAACACACCACAGCAACGAUGGCAUUCACAGCUCUAGUGUACAUAUGUGUGUUGCUACGCGUGCGCGUGUGAAGUCGCUCCGCGAGAAUGUUCUUUUGUGUGCGUACUAUUCGUUUGCUCGCUCGCUCGCGCUCGUUCGUGAGCUUUCUUGUGGGAACAUAGUUGCGUAUGGAACAUGUGUGCGUGCCAGUAUAUGUGUAUGCACGUGCGCGAACUUCUUGUAUUAUGUGUCAGUGACUCUCCAUGUCACGGUGGAAGUAAGUGAGAAUUUAGACGCUAAUACUCGUAUGUAAUAUAUCGGCUUUGCGCGGUACGAUUGAUCAUGUUGCGGCGGAACUGAAUGGAAAGUAACUCUUUGGGUGACUUAGGAUAAUAAUUGAGCAAGAUGGUUCUGUGCGCACAAAAGUGCUAUAAACGCAACCAACGAUCAAGGAUUAUCAAUUCUGUAAUUCUUAAUGGUGCUAAGUCCUAGACAUUGACUAGAGGUACGAGACAAUUAAGAAAGAAGAGAAAAGUGUUCGCCUAAGAAGAGAAUUUUCGGAGGAGGAUGCUCGGCAGUUGGGGCUGGGAAGAAGAAUUGGAGUUGGGAGAGGGAACAGCAACCCUGUCACAAGAUAGACAAA